UAGGGAAUCUUCGGCAAUGGGGGCAACCCUGACCGAGCAACGCCGCGUGAGUGAAGAAGGUUUUCGGAUCGUAAAGCUCUGUUGUAAGAGAAGAACGUGUGUGAGAGUGGAAAGUUCACACAGUGACGGUAACUCACCAGAAAGGGACGGCUAACUACGUGCCAGCAGCCGCGGUAAUACGUAGGUCCCGAGCGUUGUCCGGAUUUAUUGGGCGUAAAGCGAGCGCAGGCGGUUUAAUAAGUCUGAAGUUAAAGGCAGUGGCUUAACCAUUGUUCGCUUUGGAAACUGUUAAACUUGAGUGCAGAAGGGGAGAGUGGAAUUCCAUGUGUAGCGGUGAAAUGCGUAGAUAUAUGGAGGAACACCGGUGGCGAAAGCGGCUCUCUGGUCUGUAACUGACGCUGAGGCUCGAAAGCGUGGGGAGCAAACAGG
rnacentral:rRNA from 1 species